GACGAACGCUGGCGGCGUGCUUAACACAUGCGAGUCGAACGGAAAGGCCCUGCUUUUGUGGGGUGCUCGAGUGGCGAACGGGUGAGUAACACGUGAGUAACCUGCCCUUGACUUUGGGAUAACUUCAGGAAACUGGGGCUAAUACCGGAUAGGAGCUCCUGCUGCAUGGUGGGGGUUGGAAAGUUUCGGCGGUUGGGGAUGGACUCGCGGCUUAUCAGCUUGUUGGUGGGGUAGUGGCUUACCAAGGCUUUGACGGGUAGCCGGCCUGAGAGGGUGACCGGCCACAUUGGGACUGAGAUACGGCCCAGACUUCUACGGGAGGCAGCAGUGGGGAAUAUUGCACAAUGGGCGGAAGCCUGAUGCAGCAACGCCGCGUGCGGGAUGACGGCCUUCGGGUUGUAAACCGCUUUCGCCUGUGACGAAGCGUGAGUGACGGUAAUGGGUAAAGAAGCACCGGCUAACUACGUG
rnacentral:rRNA from 1 species